UACGUAGGGACCUAGCGUUGUCCGGAAUCAUUGGGCGUAAAGCGCGCGUAGGCGGCCCGGUAAGUCCGUUGUAAAAGUCAAAGGCUCAACCUUUGAAAGCCGAUGGAUACUGCCGGGCUAGAGUACGGAAGAGGCGAGUAGAAUUCCUGGUGUAGCGGUGGAAUGCGCAGAUAUCGAGAGGAACACCAGUGGCGAAGGCGGCUCACUGGCCCGGUACUGACGCUGAGGAGCGAAAGCCAGGGGAGCAAACGGG
rnacentral:rRNA from 1 species